GGCCGUAUGGUCUAGAGGUACGAUACCUGCUUUGGGCGUUUCGUAGUUGCAGGUGGCCCGGGGUUCGAAUCCCCGUGCGGCCC